rnacentral:rRNA from 3 species
CUCGGAUCAGGUAGGGAUACCCGCUGAACUUAAGCAUAUCAAUAAGCGGAGGAAAAGAAACCAACCGGGAUUGCCUCAGUAACGGCGAGUGAAGCGGCAAGAGCUCAAAUUUGAAAGCUGGCUCCUUCGGGGUCCGCAUUGUAAUUUGCAGAGGAUGCUUCGGGUGCGGCCCCUGUCUAAGUGCCCUGGAACGGGCCGUCAGAGAGGGUGAGAAUCCCGUCUGGGAUGGGGUGUCCGCGCCCG